GGCCAAGCUAUUAAGGGCAUGUGGGGGAUGUCUUGGCAUUGGAAGAAAGGGCGUGGAAGUCUGCGAAAAGCCCGGGGGAGUUGACAAACGAGCGUUAAUCCUGGGAUUCCCAUUGCUAACCCGGCGAAGUGAAACAUCUCAGUAACCGGUGGAAAAGAAAGAAAAAUCGAUUCCCUGAGUAGCGGCGAGCGAA
rnacentral:rRNA from 1 species